rnacentral:lncRNA from 1 species
CCAAUGCCGUGCUCGCCCGUGGGACGUGCCAGGGCAAGAAAAGGGAAGCACGACUCCCCGUUGGGUGGAAUUCCAUCCCCUGGAAUGUCACCUUCGCCCUGUUUUCCUUUUCCGUAGAUGAGCUCACACAGUGGGUGCGACUCGGACAGGGAAGUGCACUUUCCUGCGUAGUUUGGAGUUGAAAGAAGCGAUGUUUGCUGGCUUGGUCCGAAGUUAGUCAGAUGCCUGCAGUGGUUCUCGCUGUGCUGGUGUGAAUGUCCGUGGACUUGAGCGCUCUGAAGCUGCCCCUUGAGCGGAGGAGUGUAUAGCUCCUGUGAUACACGACGUGGAGACUGUGAAGCGACUAACGCGUCGGGGAUCCGAUGAUCAGACGACGUGACAGCGGGAAUGGAGAGGAACCCAUGCGAAGACGUUGACACAGAAAGACAGCCGGGAUACGAGGAGAUACCACACAAUGAGCCUGUCGGAACGGAUGAGAUACAACCUUCUGCAGAAGGAAAGAUAUGUGAAGGAGUGUUUCGUUUCACCCCGAAAUCUAACUGGUUCACGUCUGCGGGAGUGAUGUCGAAUGCCCCGUACGGUAACGUCGCUGUUCGAGAGGCGGGGAAGUGGGGAUUUUCUUUAUCAGUAUCAGCGCAUGUGCUCCUCGCGGUGUCUAUGAAAGCCAAGGAUGUGCCGCACUUGACUGCUCGCCCGCAACCAGGGAGCGCCUGCUUCUCUAUUUUGGUUUCCAACAUCGUUCCAUUUGUAACCUCUGCGCCUCCCCCUCCUGUGUUGUGCCGGAACCCGCAGAGCCCAUGCUCUUUUGCGACACUUCCGUCGAUCUCCGUCCCAGUAAACGUAAAAGCGGAAGAGUAAGGCGGGAACACAUUUUUCGUAGGCUCGCCGUCAGCACCAACAGCUCUUUUGUUGGCGGUAUGCCUAAGAAGCUGCACCGUUUGGCUCUGGACUGGCAGCGCGCCUAAACCCCCAACCAUUGAUGGCGAGGCGAGAGUCUCCGACUCCUCAUGGGGAUCUCUGGAGCGCGGACUACCGUUUCUGUGCUUCCGCGGUGGCUCCACAAGGAAAGGAGAUAAUAGACACACCGCCUCUCCAUCCGGUCCGUGUUUCAAAGAAUAAACGCGUAAGCGUUCUGCUUGCUCUUGAAAGGUACUGUGGGCCGCAGACUCGGUUUGAUACAGAACAUCAGCUCGCCCAUGAAAGGAGCCAAAACCUCGCCCACCCCCUUGGGGAGGAGCUUCUGCUCGUGAUAGGGACUGAUUCUGUAGCUUCCGAGCUGCGGAUUUGCUUUUGGUGGAACCGAAAUCUGUAGGUAGGGAGCGUGUGGGCGGAGGCAGCGGAUCUAAGGAGCGGGCGAACCCGAAGUCAACCAGUUUAACAUGGCCGAUGUGGUCAAGGAGAAUGUUCUCUGGCUUCAAAUCGCGGUACACGAUCAUGCUGGCUGCAGUGGCAUGUACAGACAUCACCUGCAUCUUGACAAAUCGGGG